rnacentral:misc_RNA from 1 species
CCAGAGUUCUUUACUCUCCAACCCCAUGUGAACAUACCAUCGUUUCUUCGGCGGACCACGCCCCGGCGCCCUCGGGCCCGGACCAGGCGCCCGCCGGAGGUCCUGAAAACACUGAUUGCCAAUUGUGGAUUAUCUCUGAACCACGGCGUUUUGCGCCGAAAACGAAUCA